AUGGUUAUCUCUUUCUUUAGUACACCCCUUUUUAAUACAAGGGUGGCAAAAAAAAGGUUAAGUAUUGGAGUAGUCAAGAGGUUGGGUUAUACAAGCAAGAGUUCUUGCUGUCCUGGGCUUGGUUUUAGCAUGUACAAAAUGGAGAGCUUAAAAUGCACGGAUAAGAGCUCCAAGUGUCUGCCAAAAAAAGGGAAGAAGAGCUCCAAGUGUUCUGGUCACUUCUUUAGACUGGACAUAUUACAUGCAUUCAGGUGUACAUAUCUUGAAUUUGCUCAUGAAAUUACAUCACAAAUCCUUUAUUGUAAAAGACAAAGAAAAGACUAG
rnacentral:rRNA from 1 species